rnacentral:lncRNA from 1 species
CUAUAUAGUUCCUUAUAUGUUCCACAGUUAGAGCACUUGUCAAGUUAGGUUACACUUGUUUACAGACCAGUCUUAUUCCUUAUAGUCUAAAGAUUUCCCAGCCUCUUUCAAGUGAAUGCCACAGAAGAGGACACUGACUCUGAGAUGAGGGGUAGCACAGCAAGCA